AAAACAAACCUACAAACAAGAAUUUCCAAGAAACGCAUCUUAAAUGCCGUUAGCAUGGGUAUUUUUUCAAACAGUAGAUAAAUAAUUCAAAGUCCUGGGACUUAGUGCAAAGAGAAGACAGGCUUCCGACAGGCGACAGGUGACUCGAUUUCACCUUUGUGCAGCACAUCGUUCCUUCUCUAACGUAACAAGGUGCUUUAAAACUUACUAGUCAGAUAAGGACCAUAUUGACAUGAAAGUGGACGUCUCCUUGCGUUCUUCUACCAAGUACUUGGCUCAUCUGAGGCACACAACGUUCUCUUUGCUCACGGCACUGCUUUCUCCAGAUCAGCGUCUGAGGCUGCCGAGCUCUCUGAAGAAACUCCGGGGAGAAGCUCAAGCACUACUUUUUAAAACUGGAAACCUGGCCUAUGAAAUCAGUAAGGAAAAGGAGCCAAAUGUGUCCGGUCUCUCUAUCCUCUGCAGGACGGACAGGGUCUCCGUAUUAAUAACCUAGAUGAAGUCAUCUGUUCUGGGUGACUGGACCGGGAUCGGACCCUGACCCAGGAGCAGGGAAACGCUCCCUCCUCGCUCUGAAGGGGUGAAGGAAAUGAACAUCUGCCCUUUCCAGGCAAACACUCAGAAUUUGUGAGCACGGACUCACACACUGUAUCCAUUAAAUCGGAGUAAACCGGACAGACGCUCACCUGC
rnacentral:lncRNA from 1 species